AGAGUUUGAUCCUGGCUCAGGACGAACGCUGGCGGCGUGGAUUAGGCAUGCAAGUCGAACGGUAGGGGACUUUCGGGUUCCUGAGAGUGGCGAACGGGUGAGUAACACGUAGGUAAUCUACCCUCAAAUCGGGGACAACCCAGGGAAACUUGGGCUAAUACCGGAUGCGUGCGGCACCUAAAUGAUCCUGGUUGAGAUGGGAGAGAUUCUGUUUUGACUGGGUGGGUUAUUUAGGUGCUGCAUAAAAGGUGGCUGGUAACAGCUGUUGUUUGAGGAUGAGCCUGCGCUCUAUUAGUUAGUUGGUGGGGUAAUGGCCUACCAAGGCGAUGAUAGAUAGGCGGCCUUAACGGGUGGUCGCCCACACUGGGAUUGAGAUACGGCCCAGACUCCUACGGGAGGCAGCAGUCGAGAAUAGUCUACAAUGGACGAAAGUCUGAUAGUGCGACGCCGCGUGAACGAGGAAGCCCUUCGGGGUGUAAAGUUCUUUUAUAUGUGAGCAAUGCUUCUUAUAUGAAUAGUAUGAGGAGAGAGAUAUUAGCAUAUGAAUAAGCAACGGCUAACUCCGUGCCAGCAGCCGCGGUAACACGGGGGUUGCAAGCGUUGUCCGGAAUUACUAGGCGUAAAGGGCAGGUAGGCGGAUCUAUAAGUUUGAUGUUAAAGGCAGCGGCUCACCCGUUGUGCGGCAUUAGAUACUGUAGAUCUGGAAUGCGGUUGGGGAAGACAGAAUUCCUGGUGUAGCGGUGGAAUGCGCAGAGAUCAGGAGGAAUACCGAAGGCGAAGGCAGUCUUCUAAGCCGAUAUUGACGCUAAACUGCGAAGGUGUGGGUAUCAAACAGGAUUAGAUACCCUGGUAGUCCACACAGUAAACGAUAAUCACUAGGUGUUGGGUUCGAAGAGAAUUCGGUGCCGUAGCUAACGCGAUAAGUGAUUCGCCUGGGGAGUACGAUCGCAAGGUUGAAACUCAAAUGAAUUGACGG
rnacentral:rRNA from 1 species